UACAGUGCACAUAGCAUCUCAUUAAUGAAUCACUUUUUUCAGUGACCAAGUCCAUUCUCGACAAUUUUGGGACGUUAAGUAAAAUAAUAAAAUGAGGUUUUAUGUUUGUACAAGCCCAAAUAUGCCCGGGCCCAAACCCAAUAAAACUUGGCAGAUUUUACCUCCCUGAGGUUACAGUGGAGUACAUUGAAGCCAGUAAUUCUAUCUCCCUAGGCAAUAGUGGAAUAGAUUGAAGAUUAUAGAUCUUAUCUCCCUAGGCAUUAGUAGAGUAGAUCGAAGAUGGCUGAUUUUACCUCCCUUAAGUUACAGUGGAGUACAUUGAAGCUAGUAAUUCUAUCUCCCUGGGCAGCAGUGGAAUACAUUGAAGAUUACAGAUCUUAUCUCCCUAGGCAUUAAUGGAGUAGAUCGAAAAUGGCAGAUUUUACCUCCCUAAGGUUACAGUAGAGUACAUAAAGGCCAGUAAUUCUAUCUCCCUGGGCAGCAGUGGAAUUGAUUGAAGAUUACAGAUCUUAUCUCCCUAGGCAGUAGUGGAGUAGAUCGAAGAUGACAGAUUUUACCUCCCUGAGGUUACAGUGGAGUACAUUGAAGCUAGUAAUUCUAUCUCCCUGUUCGACAGUGAAAUCGAUUGAAGAAUAGCAGAUCUUAUCUCCCUAAGCAAUAGUGGAGUAGACUGACGACGGCGAAUCUAGUUUCCCCUACAUUGCAGUUGAACAAAUUAAAGAAACUAAUCUUAUCUCCCUAAAGUUGCGAUGGAGUAGAUUAGAACUACAGAUCUUAUCUCUCUGAAGUUGCAGUAGAACAGAUCGCAUCAGAUUUAUCUUUAAGUUGUGGCAGAACAAGUUAAAGCUAUAAGUCUCAUCUCCCUAAGGUUACAGUGGAACAAAUUAAAUAUAGCAAAUUUUAUUUUUUUUGAGGAGUUACAACGUAGAAAUCCUAUCACCCCGACAUUGCAGUAGAGUACAUAGAAGCACCAGUUCUUAUACCUCUGAAGAUGCAAUAGGAAGGAAUGAGACUAUUUAAAGAAGAAAAGCACCGAAGAAGUCAAGGCUUAGUAAGACCGAGCACAAUUGGGCUUUUAGUCUUUGCUUGUUCCCGUUACACGACAACGAGCAAAGAGAGGCAGCUGUACAAGCCCAAAUAUGCCCGGGCCCAAACCCAAUAAAACUUAGGCCAAGCUAAACCCAAUUACAGGGCCCAAUUGGCCUAAAACAGCAAAAACCCUAGCAACAAUUAGCAGCGCCACAUGCCCCACGUUCGGCAGUCUCCACACCGUCCCACGUUCAACACUCCGCGCACGCCACACGCUUGUACCUGCAACAACCACGAACUGUAAAGGGUGGAAAAGAGGUUUUCGGGGGGUCUUCUUUUUGUUAUUUUAGCUAUUUAAAGUCAAAUCGAAUCUGUAAUAGGGGUUAGCAAAUUUUUGUAUUGGAAAAACUGGAAAAAAAAAAUACAAGAGAGAACAAGUUUUUUAAGGUGACAGAUUUUAGUUCUUUUUUUUCUUUUGUUUUUUUUACUGUUUCUAUUGGAUUUUGUUUCUAUUUUUAUUUCUUAAAACAAAAACAAAAGGGAAAGGAAAAGGAGGGCUUACCGUUGCGAGAUUCGUCGGAGAGCGUCCUCAUUUCGUCGUCAUCUGGUCGGACAUGGGAGGGGACUGGAACGGCGGAGGAGAACUGCUGCGGAGCGAUUUUGAAUGGCAGAGGAGUUUUCUUUUAAGGGUUUGAAAUGGGUUUUAUUGGCUGCAAAUGAAAUGAGAUUCUAUUUAUG
rnacentral:lncRNA from 1 species